CAUUCUUGGUGCUGGGGUGGGUGUGUGCAGUGGGAGGAAACAACAUGAAUAAGUACUGAACUUGGGUGACAUGGGAGGAAGCUUGGUGCUAUUGGGGAGCACCUGUUGUUAUAACUGAUCCUGUCCAACUACUCCAGUAGACAGUUCUUAUUGUUUUGGCUUUGAGAGACCGAACUCCAAAAAGUGACUGGUUUAUCCCAGGUGAGGCUGAGGCAGCUGAUCCUACCUUUCUUCAACAGUCACAUCCAUAGCAGAUCUCAGGAACUGUCACGUUUGAAGGAAAAUACUGGAAAAGAGUGAGAGUGAUGCUCAGCGGAGGAGUGAUACUACAGCAAGGCCUUUUCACUGGUCCUCUGGUCCUCCUGGUCUCCUGGUCUUCUCUGCAGUUAUGGGACUUCUGAGAGGCUGAGGCAUUGCCACUCAUCUUGCUCCCUGCAUCAAACACUGCCAUGUACACUGCACAGCUUGUGCUGAACAAAGUAAAGUGAUGUGCCAAAUUAUUCUACAGCUGCUACAGAAGAAAUGUGACUGAAAUUACCUUCUCUCUGUGUGAUGUCUGCACAAAGUCACAAAAUAAAACCAGUCCUUC